UCAUUCGGGGGCUCACGUUCUUGUAUUGGAUGAUGGGAAUUUUAAAACCUCUUCCAGAGUAUCAAUUGGAGGGCAAGUCUGGUGCCAGCAGCCGCGGAAAUUCCAGCUCCAAGAGCGUAUAUUAAAAUUGUUGCAGUUAAAAAGCUCGAAGUUGAAUUUCUGCUGCAUCGCCGUGUCCCCUCUGGGCCUCUGCGUGUGUUUUAUUUCAAAUGGAUUUCCCUGUGUCUGCAGGGCACUUUUUGAAAAUAAGAGAGCUCAAAGCCGCUUUUGCCUCUUUAAUAUUGUAGCAAAAAAUAAAAACUUGAGACUUUUUUUCUUUUUUUGGGGCAAAGUACCCGAUAAAUGGGAAAUAUGGGGGCAUUUGGGCAUUCACAUUUCAAUGUCAAAUGUGAGAAUCUCAGAGA
rnacentral:rRNA from 1 species